AAUGAGUCGAUUGGAGAUGAAGGAAAUGAGAGAUUCGUUGGAGAAGAGGAUGUACCACACACUCAAAGCAAAACACUCACUAUUGAUGAUGAUGAUAACAAGAGAUUAUCACUAACACCUUUCUCCACUCCACCGGAACAGCGAAGACAUAACAUGGAGGAACUACAUGAAGUUGCUAAAGAAUUCGAU